rnacentral:rRNA from 1 species
CCUACGGGAGGCAGCAGUGGGGAAUCUUAGACAAUGGGCGCAAGCCUGAUCUAGCCAUGCCGCGUGAGUGAUGAAGGUCUUAGGAUCGUAAAGCUCUUUCGCUAGGGAUGAUAAUGACAGUACCUAGUAAAGAAGCCCCGGCUAACUCCGUGCCAGCAGCCGCGGUAAUACGGAGGGGGCUAGCGUUGUUCGGAAUUACUGGGCGUAAAGCGUACGUAGGCGGAUCAGAAAGUAUGGGGUGAAAUCCCAGGGCUUAACCCUGGAACUGCCUCAUAAACUCCUGGUCUUGAGUUCGAGAGAGGUGAGUGGAAUUCCAAGUGUAGAGGUGAAAUUCGUAGAUAUUUGGAGGAACACCAGUGGCGAAGGCGGCUCACUGGCUCGAUACUGACGCUGAGGUACGAAAGUGUGGGGAGCAAACAGGAUUAGAUACCCUGGUAGUCCACACCGUAAACGAUGAAUGCCAGUCGUCGGGCAGUAUACUGUUCGGUGACACACCUAACGGAUUAAGCAUUCCGCCUGGGGAGUACGGUCGCAAGAUUAAAACUCAAAGGAAUUGACGG